CGUGUAGGCGGCGAUCCAAGUCAGGGGUGAAAUCCCGGGGCUCAACCCCGGAACUGCCCUUGAAACUAGAUUGCUAGAAUACUGGAGAGGUGAGUGGAAUUCCGAGUGUAGAGGUGAAAUUCGUAGAUAUUCGGAAGAACACCAGUGGCGAAGGCGACUCACUGGACAGUUAUUGACGCUGAGGUGCGAAAGCGUGGGGAGCAAACA
rnacentral:rRNA from 1 species